rnacentral:rRNA from 1 species
GACGAACGCUGGCGGCGUGCCUAAUACAUGCAAGUAGGACGCAGUUGCGAACGGGUGAGUAACACAUAGGUAACUACCUAUUAGAGAGAGAUAACUAUGGGAAACGAUAGCUAAUACCGAAUACUAGUAGAUGGACCUGGGUUGUAUUAGCUAGUAAGUAGGGUACUGGCCUACCUAGACAACGAUCAAGAGCCGACCGGAGAGGGUGAUCUGCCACACUGGGACUGAGACACGGCCCAGACUCCUACGGUAGGCAGCAGUAGGUAAUCUUCGGCAAUGGGGGGAACCCUGACCGAGCAACGCCGCGUGAGUGAAGAAGGUUUUCGGAUCUUAAAACUCUGUUAUUAGGGAAGCGGUACCGAAUCAGAAAGCCACGGCUAACUACGUGCCAGCAGCCGCGGUAAUUC